rnacentral:rRNA from 1 species
UACGAAGGGGGCGAGCGUUGUUCGGAUUUACUGGGCGUAAAGGGCGCGCAGGCGGCAGACCAAGUCAGGCGUGAAAGCCCCGGGCUUAACCUGGGAGGUGCGUCUGGGACUGGUAUGCUAGAGUUCGGGAGAGGAGAGUGGAAUUCCCAGUGUAGAGGUGAAAUUCGUAGAUAUUGGGAAGAACACCGGUGGCGAAGGCGGCGUUCUGGACUGCUACUGACACUGAGGAACGAAAGCCAGGGGAGCAAACGGG